CCCACAUCACCAUCUGCUGGGAAAAGGCUGACCAUCUACAUGUUGGAAUCAUGUCCUGUAGAUGAACAAGUCCAGAUGGCGCACAGGGACAGCGUGCAGGACGCUCCUUUUACCGGUUUCCUACUGACCCAGACAAGAGGGCCAAAUGGAUUGCAGCUGUGAAGAGACAGGAUUGGGAGCCAACAGAGUACUCCAGACUUUGCAGUGAUCAUUUCAUUUCAGGAGCAAGGAGUAACCACCCCCUCUCCCCAGAUUUUGUUCCCAGUGUCUUCCAACACACCUCAUCACCUGUGAAGCGAAAAGGGCAGCAGUCUCUGGAGUCAUUUCAGCAUCGACAGGCCAUGAAGUCCAGAAAGAGAGAGGAAGAAUCCCGUAGAUCAGCUGCACAAGCUCUCCUGGAUCUAACCUCAGGCCUGAACAUUCCAGUAAAGGACUUGGAAUUAGA